UUCCAGUUUCUUCCACUGCUGAAAUCGGCGCUGCCAUCAAUGCCCCUACCAUUUCUUCCACUCCCAAGCUUCCAUGCGAGUCAGAAUCCAUGUUUCUGAAGGAGCUAUCAAUAGUUCAAACUCAGUCAUCUGAAGAAACUGGCAUGGCUGCGACUGAGACCAAGACCAAAGAAGCCUUGGAGGAGGAGGUUUACCUCAAAGACGAUAACUUGGAGCUUUUGAGUUUGACGAAACUUAGGGCAAUGUACAAACAUAUACUGAAUGGUUCAAAGACAGAGGUAAUUCAGUUGUUUUCAAAUUCAUUUAUAUCGCAAGUUUUGUUCUCAGCUUUAUCUCCCUUACUUCUUUGGUUCCGUAGCAGGAGAGGAAGAAAUCUACGAUCAAACCAGAAGAUUUGGAGCGUUUGAGCAGCAUCAAACAAGAUGAAGAUUGCAAGCAGAAGAUGAAUGAUGACAUGAUUAAGUCGGAGAGCAAGAAAUCUGUGAUCAAACAAGAAGACUUGGAGUGCCUGAGCCGCAGCAAGCUUGAUUCAAACAAGCAAAAGUUGAAUGACGAUAAGAUUAAGUCGGAGAGAAAGAGAACUCCGCUCAAGAGUCUGAAUUACAGCACUUUCUGAUGUGUAAAGAUGAAGACUGCAUUAUGAUGAGAUUGAUCUAAUUAGUGUUAUGUUUUAGAUUGUUAGGGCUGUGAAACCAAGGUUUC